GGUGGACAAGACAUCCACAACAUUGCAGGGAGAAGAUCUGUACAUGUCUAUAUUGAGACCCAAUGGCCAUUACAUAUUUGGCCUUUCACUGAUUGCAGCUAUGCCAAGGACAUGAUCUGCCAGGAACUCCUCUGUAGAAGGCCCAUUGCAAAGAAUGACUCCAUUUCUAAAGCGGCCAUUUGGGCAGUCUGAGUGUGAGGAGGAAGAAAGCUGCCAGCAAGAUUCCUUGCCACCAACACCCAACAUGCUCUUUACCUACCCAGCACCUGACAAGGUUUCUGUCCUUCAAGGGGCAGAGUCCUCUCUCUGCAGACCAGAACUGUGGACUACUUGGAUCUGUUCUAAAGAGUUUUACUUUAUUUGUUUUUAUUUGUUUGUUAUUUAAAAAUUAAACUCUACUUUUUACCA